AUUGCUUCUCGGCCUUUUGGCUAAGAUCAAGUGUAGUAUCUGAUGACAAGUCCAGAGGUAACAGACACCUGUCAACACUCCACAGAGUCCAUGAGCGUCUACAAAAGGACUCAGUCCAUGUCUCUGAGCUUGAUUUCCAGCUCUGCCACUUAAAACCCAU
ensembl:snRNA U2 U2 spliceosomal RNA